GACGAACGCUGGCGGCGUGCUUAACACAUGCAAGUCGAGCGGUAAGGCCCUUUCGGGGGUACACGCGCGGCGAAAGGGUGAGUAACACGUGGGUGACCUGCCCUCAGCCCUGGGAUAAGCCUGGGAAAAUGGGCCUAAUAACAGAAAUGACCUCCUAUCGCAUGGUGGGUGGUGGAAAGUUUUUUCGGCUGGGGAUGGGCCCGCGGCCUAUCAGCUUGUUGGUGGGGUGAUGGCCUACCAAGGCGACGACGGGUAGCCGCCCUGAGAGGGCGACCGGCCACACUGGGACUGAGACACGGCCCAGACUCCUACGGGAGGCAGCAGUGGGGAAUAUUGCGCAAUGGGCGAAAGCCUGACGCAGCGACGCCGCGUGGGGGAUGACGGCCUUCGGGUUGUAAACCUCUUUCGACCUUGACGAAGGCCUUCGGGUUGACGGUAGGGGUAGAAGAAGCACCGGCCAACUACGUGCCAGCAGCCGCGGUAA
rnacentral:rRNA from 1 species